GUGAGAGGCAAAGUGUUUAGUUAAACGAUCAUGGAAGACCUGGCUAGCUGAAAUCUGAGGCAGACAUGUUUGCAUUAUGCCAGACCCACACUCACACAUUGCCGGAGCCUGCGGGUAUUGGCUCUCGAGACAAGUGUGCUUCUAAAGACAGUUCUCUACAUCUGGGUGACACAAAUAUUUAGAGUCAUGAAGACUCAGCACACAAUCUUCCAGUCCAAGAGAAGACAAGAGGAAUGAUAGGCAAACAUAAUCAGGAUGAGGACAUCGCUGACCAAGCAGCAUUUAAAGCCCAUCCUUAAUUGCCCAAAGGGUAGUUCAGAGUCAACGACAUUGCUGUGAGUCUGAGUCACAUGUAAACCAGACCAG